CCCUGGGAGAUGCAGCUGUGACUGGCAUGGAAGAUGGGCUCCUCCAGGAGUAUCAUUCCUCAUGGUUACCUUCACCUAGGAUCUUUCCAUGUGCUUCCUUUUUCCUUCUGGUUUUUCACAGUGACAUCUCAACCUGUCCUCAAGCUGUGUCCUUGUUUUUCACAUUUUAUUAAGGCAUCCUUACCAUUCUUUAAAUAGCUUUGUUCUUGAGUCUCCCUUUAACAACUGGAGCAAGCAGAGCUGCUGGAACUAGUUCUGGGGAUUGAGUAUAUAAUUUUCCACCUUGGGCAUCAGGGAUGAGGAACCAUCCCCUCCUUCAGCAAAGCAAACCAGGUUGGAUUGCUGCUGUGCUUUGGUACCUGUCUGUGUUAAUACAUAGCAGGUGUUGUUUAGAUGCAAGUUUCAGAGUUUCUUCUGCCCUUGUGGGGUUGAUUGAGGAGGUGAACCUUGGCAGUCAGGCUGUAGAGCAGCUGCUGUGAAGCUGUGUGGGGCACCACAUGGGGUCGGGAAGCUCUUCUCAUGAAGAAGCUGAGUGCAGACUUGAACUGCCCCAUGGGCAGCAGAUGGAGAGAGGGGUCCAUCAUGCUGCAGCCUGGGAGCAGUGAGG